GGCUCCUUGUUUGUCAGAACAUAGGGGGUCGGACCUGCCCGGUGACUUGUUAGUUAAACGGCUGCGGUACCCUGACCGUGCAAAGGUAGCAUAAUAAUAAGCCUUUUAAUUGGAGGAUAGAAUGAAUGGUCUGACGAGGGUUGAGCUGUCUCCUUCGAAAUAUUUAUAAAUUAACUUUUAGGUGAAGAGGCCUAAAUUGGGCUAAGGGACAAGAAGACCCUGUCGAGCUUUAGUGAUUCUCUGGUUUGAGUGGUUUGUAUAAAAUUAUUGUAUAGGCUAUUUUCUGAGGUAAUCUUUGACUGGGGUAGUCUAGGAACAUAAAAAACUUCCUUGUUGUUUUUUUAACUUGCUUGUUUUAAUUGAUCCAAUCGUUUUGUAUUGAUUAGAGGAAAGAGUUACCGCAGGGAUAACAGCGUAAUCUUCUUGGAGAGUUCAUAUUGAAAAGUUGGUUUGCGACCUCGAUGUUGGACUAAGAUAUCCUGAGGGCGUAGAGGCUCUCAAGGGUUGGUC
rnacentral:rRNA from 1 species